CGGCGAACCGCAUCUCAACCUUGCAAAAUAGAAACUGAAAGGCUCCGUGCCUGGAGAGUGAGCCCACAGGACUCUCCAGCUUCUUCAAGUCUUUCAAGUUCCAAACGUCCAGUUGCGCGCAACUAUUGUUCACUGAAGAGGUUGGAAUCUCCAUCGGACGUUUAUCAACUUCUAACAAGGACAGAGAAUCAGACAUUCAGCUCUGCUCCAAUCCUCCUCAGCUCCGAGAUGAACCCGUGCCCUCCCCAUCUAGUGUCUCUUUUCCAGCUAAAGAGAUUAUCAGUGCGACUGGUCGACUACUGCACAACACCAGGUCAGCAAGGAACAAAUGGCAAGAGCAACAAAUAUGGAGAAACCCCCAAAAUGGGUAAACUACGGAGGGCAGGAAAAGAAUCACAACGUCCUAGGGAGAAAAAAGGCUCCAUCUCUGGAGAGGACUUUUCUACGGAGCAGGAUCUGACCCGACACCAAAGCAUUCACAACAAAGGAAACAAGUCCUACCUCUGUAACCUGUGUGGCAAAGACUAUUCAAGGCUAGAUAGCCUCAAGUCACAUCGGCUCAUUCAC